CGUAGGGUCCGAGCGUUGUCCGGAAUUAUUGGGCGUAAAGGGCUUGUAGGCGGUCCGUCGCGUCAGAAGUGAAAACUCAGGGCUUAACCCUGAGCCUGCUUUUGAUACGGGCGGACUAGAGGGAUGCGAGGGGAGAACGGAAUUCCUGGUGGAGCGGUGGAAUGCGCAGAUAUCAGGAGGAACACCGGUGGCGAAGGCGGUUCUCUGGGCAUUACCUGACGCUGAGAAGCGAAAGCGUGGGGAGCAAACAGGCUU
rnacentral:rRNA from 1 species